CCUACGGGAGGCAGCAGUGAGGAAUAUUGGGCAAUGGACGAGAGUCUGAACCAGCCAAGCAGCGUGAAGGAUGACUGCCCUAUGGGUUGUAAACUUCUUUUAUAUGGGAAUAAAACGUUCCACGUGUGGGAUUUUGUAUGUACCAUAUGAAUAAGGAUCGGCUAACUCCGUGCCAGCAGCCGCGGUAAUACGGAGGAUCCGAGCGUUUUCCGGAUUUAUUGGGUUUAAAGGGAGCGUAGGUGGAUUGUUAAGUCAGUUGUGAAAGUUUGCGGCUCAACCGUAAAAUUGCAGUUGAAACUGGCAGUCUUGAGUACAGUAGAGGUGGGCGGAAUUCGUGGUGUAGCGGUGAAAUGCUUAGAUAUCACGAAGAACUCCGAUUGCGAAGGCAGUUCACUGGACUGCAACUGACACUGAGGCUCGAAAGUGUGGGUAUCAAACAGGAUUAGAUACCCCUGUAGUC
rnacentral:rRNA from 1 species